AAGAUCGACGAUGACGACAUCGUCUCUCACAUCCUCGCUGGCCUGGACGAGGAGUUUGAUCCGGUGGUCUCUGCUAUGUGCUCCAGAGUGGAGCCGAUC
rnacentral:snoRNA from 1 species